rnacentral:rRNA from 1 species
CAGUCGCCACGGGAAUACGUAGGUGGCGAGCGUUGUCCGGAAUUAUUGGGCGUAAAGGGAGCGCAGGCGGGCGAGUAAGUCUUUCUUAAAAGUGCGGGGCUCAACCCCGUGAGGGGAGAGAAACUACUCAUCUUGAGUGCAGGAGAGGAAAGCGGAAUUCCUAGUGUAGCGGUGAAAUGCGUAGAUAUUAGGAAGAACACCAGUGGCGAAGGCGGCUUUCUGGACUGUAACUGACGCUGAGGCUCGAAAGCCAGGGGAGCGAACGGGAUUAGAUACCCCUGUAGUCCCUGUCUCUUAUACA